rnacentral:rRNA from 1 species
AUUGAACGCUGGCGGCAGGCCUAACACAUGCAAGUCGAACGAGUGGCGGACGGGUGAGUAAUGUCUGGGAAACUGCCUGAUGGAGGGGGAUAACUACUGGAAACGGUAGCUAAUACCGCAUACCAUCGGAUGUGCCCAGAUGGGAUUAGCUAGUAGGUGGGGUAACGGCUCACCUAGGCGACGCUCCCUAGCUGGUCUGAGAGGAUGACCAGCCACACUGGACCUGAGACACGGUCCAGACUCCUACGGGAGGCAGCGUUGGGGAAGAUUGCACAAUGGGCGCACGCCGGAUGCAGCCAUGCCUCGUGUAUGAAGAAGGCCUUCGGGUUGUAAAGUACUUUCAGCGGGGAGGCGUUACCCGCAGAAGAAGCACCGGCUAACUCCGUGCCAGCAGCCGCGGUAAUAC